CGCAGUUCCCGUAUGUCUAUCAGGCAUGCGUAGAGGCUGUAAAUCUCACUUUGUGUUAUUUGCAUAAACAACACACACGUAUCGGCACAUGUGCCGGGGUGCUGUCGGACGCGUAUGCGCACGAUGGUCGGCGUCAUGGGAUACGUGGAGGCAUAACC
rnacentral:sRNA from 1 species